rnacentral:rRNA from 1 species
GAUGAACGCUGGCGGCGUGCCUAAUACAUGCAAGUAGAACGCUGAAGGCAGGCGCUUGCUCUUUCCGGAUGAGUUGCGCACGGGUGAGUAACGCGUAGGUACCCUGCCUGGUAGCGGGGGAUAACUAUUGGACACGAUAGCUAAUCCCGCAUAACAGUAGAUGUUGCAUGAUAUCUACUUAAAAGGUGCAAUUGCACCACUACCAGAUGGACCUGCGUUGUAUUAGCUAGUUGGUGAGGUAACGGCUCACCAAGGCGACGUUACAUAGCCGACCGGAGCGGAGGGGUGGCCACACUGGGAGUGAGACACGGCCCAGACGGCUACAGGAGGGAGCAGUAGGGAAUCUGGGGCAAUGGGCGGAAGUCUGACCGAGCAACGCCGCAGGAGUGAAGAAGGUUGUCGGGUCGUAAAGCUCGGUUGUAAGAUAAGAACGAGUGUGAGAGUGGAAAGUUCACACUGUGACGGUAUCUGACCAGAAAGGGACGGCUAACUACGUG